rnacentral:misc_RNA from 1 species
GAUGAAGAACGUAGCGAAAUGCGAUAAGUAGUGUGAAUUGCAGAAUUCAGUGAAUCAUCGAAUCUUUGAACGCACAUUGCGCCCUUUGGUAUUCCUUAGGGCAUGCCUGUUCGAGCGUCAUUUAAACCUUCAAGCUCAGCUUGGUGAUGGGCGACUGUCCCCCCCCCUCGCGGGGGGGACUCGCCUCAAAAACAUUGGCGGCCGGUACAUUGGCUUCGAGCGCAGCAGAAACGCGGUCUCGAGCCCGGUGGAUCGGCUCCCAUAAGCCUAUUCUUUUAUUUUGACCUCGGAUCAGGUAGGGAUACCCGCUGAACUUAAGCAUAUCAAUAAGCGGAGGA